AUUGAACGCUGGCGGCAUGCCUUACACAUGCAAGUCGAACGGUAACAGGUCUUCGGAUGCUGACGAGUGGCGAGCGGGUGAGUAAUACAUCGGAACGUGCCUAGUAGUGGGGGAUAACUACUCGAAAGAGUGGCUAAUACCGCAUGAGAUCUACGGAUGAAAGCAGGGGAUCGCAAGACCUUGUGCUACUAGAGCGGCCGAUGGCAGAUUAGGUAGUUGGUGGGAUAAAAGCUUACCAAGCCGACGAUCUGUAGCUGGUCUGAGAGGACGAUUAGCCACACUGGGACUGAGACACGGCCAAGACUCCUCGGGGAGGCAGCAGUGGGGAAUUUUGGACAAUGGGCGCAAGCCUGAUCCAGCAAUGCCGCGUGCAGGAUGAAGGCCUUCGGGUUGUAAACUGCUUUUGUACGGAACGAAAAGCCCUGGGUUAAUACCCUGGGGUCAUGACGGUACCGUAAGAAUAAGCACCGGCUAACUACGUGCCAGCCGCCGCCGUAA
rnacentral:rRNA from 1 species